UUGUUUUCUCUUUUUUUGGUGUUUUUUUU
rnacentral:sRNA from 1 species